rnacentral:lncRNA from 1 species
UGUUAUAGACACUGUCGAGGGUAGGGGGAGGCUGCAUCAUCAGCAAGUUACUCCUUACCCCCAUAUAUGUCUCAUUAAGGCCCAUGAGGAAUUGAAACACCUUAUUCUCCUCAUCCUCCUGUAUGAUGCCAGUUUUGGCAGCACAAAUACACCUUUGGCCAUGAUUUGUACACACUGCUCCUAACUCAUCCCACAUCCCUUUUGAGUUUGUUAAAAUAUGAUGCUAUAUCUAGAGGUCCUUGAGAAGUGUGAGAGAGUUCUCUUUUAAGUUCAAAAAUUU